UCAGUUUGCUUUUGUUUAUUUCACAAGUUGCCGUUUUUCUGUAAGCUAAUAAUGAAUGAAUGGAGUUUGAACCUCUUGUAGUUCAAAGAUCCUGAGCUGCUUCUUCUUCUUCUUUAUUAAUAGAGAAGAAGAAGAAGCUCAGAAUCUUUGAUCUUUGUUCUUAAUAAAGAAGAAGAAGAAGAAAGAUCAAAGAUCUAAUAUCUAAUGUAUUUUUGUGUCUACUUUUGUUUUGGGCAGUGGACCUGGCCGAGGCUCAGGAUCUUUGAUCUUUCUUCUUCUAGAAGAAAGAUCAAAGAUCCUGAGCUUCUUCUUCUUCUUCUUUAUUAAGAAGAAGAAGAAGAAAAAGGCCCGGUUCUCAACCAGGCCUUAAUUAAGGCCUGGUUGAGUUUUGUUUCCACAGAGCCACCGGGAACAAGCAAAAUUUCAUGCAGUUAUGGGGUUUUAAUGGGAUAUUGUGCAACAUAUCGACUCAAGAAAAACUAGAGUUUAACAAGCACCUUAUUUAAUUAUUUUUAAGCUUGUCCUGAUGAGCUUGUCCUUGUGUUUCUUUCCCCUUUUUUUUUCUCUGAAGAGUUUUUUGUGGCGCUAGUGGCUCAUAUUUUUGUGACAGUAGGCAGACAGGAAAGGAGGGGGGUUGGGGGGAAGAGAUGCGGCAAAGUCAUCGGGACCGGGAGUCGAACCCGCGACGUCCGCGUUGAGGACUGAGGCCUCCGAACCUGGGGCGUGCUAACCCACUGCACCACCACAGCACGCCCCUUAAUACCUUGUGUUUUUAAUUGUAUUUUGUGCAUUCUCAUAAUUGUAAAUGUUUUGUUAAAAAUCAAAAAAAAAAAAAAUCUUCUUCUUCUUUUGAAUUUCUCUGUGUAACUCAGGUUCUUUACCGCCACCUUCCAGACUGGAGUCUGAACCAGACGUAAAACCACUGUAAUCUUCCCAUAAUUCCCGUUCUCCUCAGAAAACUAAAACUGCUGCUGAACACUUCAUCCUCAGACGAUUUUUGCAGCAGAUUUCUAAUAUCCAAUUUAUUUUUGUUUCUACUUAACUCUCUGGUGAUCACCUCUCUUUCCUGAUUAUAUUUAUUACAUUCUAGAAAAAAAUGCUGUAUUGUUUCUGACUCUCCACAAUAUCUACACAAACCUGUACAGUUUGUUAAUUAUUUCCAGAGUACUAUUUAACCCCGGAUGCCCAAACCUUAACCUGGAUAUAACAUCCUCUUCUCUUUUAUUCCUAUUACCUUUCCUUCAUUCCCCAACUUUUUUCUUUGAAUGCUAUAAUAAAAUCUUGCAUUGACUUCUCUAUCCCAUUCUUCCUGCCAUUUCUUUUUAAUAUAUCAUUUUUGCUUACUUUGAUAUGAAGCUCAACAUUGUCCUUUUUUGCUGCAUUUUUAGCAAAUUUAUCCGCCAACUCGUUUCCUACUCUUCCAAUAUGGGCAGGAAUCCAUCCAUCCAUCUUCUUACACCCUUCUUCCCUAAUGGGGUCAGGAGGGUUGCUGGUUCCUCUCCAGCUGCGUCCAGGGCGAGAGGCAGGUUCACCUGGACAGGUCGCCAGUCUGUCGCAGGGCAGGAAUCCAAAGUAAUUUAAUCCUGGAUCCAUAUUUUUGAAUUCUAAAAAUGGGUUGAUUAAUAUCCAGUGAUAUCUUGUCUUGUUUCUGAAUUUUGCUCUAAAAUACUUAUUAAUCCACUACUUGAAUCUGAGCAAAUCAAUAUUUUCUUCUUUCUCGUUUCUUCACUCCAUUCUAGAGCCACUAAUACAGCCGUUAAUUCUCCUGUUUAUACUGACAACCAAUCUGUUACUCUUCUAUUUUUCAUAAUAUUUAAGUCCAGAAUUUCUUUUUUAUCAUCUGACAUUUUAGAAGCAUCUGUAUAUACUUGUAUAUGCUCUGCAUAUUCUUUCCUUAAAUACCUUUUCACCUUUUUCUUUUCUAUUUGUCUUCCUCUUUCCAAUAAACUUAAAUCAACUUCAGCUUUUCCACUUAACCAAAGUGGAGUAACAGAAAUAUUCACCACUGGAUGAACUAAAUAAUCAUUUUUUCCUACCUCAUUUAUUUCAGGGUUAAUAAUCCAUCCAGAACUGUUAGUUUUACUUUUUUGAACUUUUUCUUGAUAAGGUUGUAACAUGGCAUAACUUUCCUUAACUCCUUUAAUAUUUGCCCAAUAAUUUCUGGCUACUUCUUUUCUUCUGAGCUCCAGCGGCCGCCUGAGCUUUUCACAGAGUGGUUCUGGUGGGUCGCCGGUUUAUUCGUUUUUCUUCUGGUUUUUGAACUGAACAGCUGAAGAUUUUUCUCUCUGACCCCCAGAAGUUAAAAGAUCCAGGGUGGCACCCAGUACCGCAGCGUUCCUGACUGGUACAUAUUGACCAAUGUUCUCCCAACUUGUUUUAAUAUUCCUGCUGAUUGUGGCUCUCCUGGGGUUUCUGUUUCAUUUUUCUCCUUAGGGUUUGGUGCCACCCUGGAUCUCAAUCUGUCAUUUUUCAAUUUAAGAGCUACAAUUUCUUUAUUUAAUUCAUUAUUCUCUGCUUGGAGCCAGGCCACAUGUUUUCUUUUCUCCUUUAAACUAUUUUCACAAUCCUUACGUGUUGUUCGCUCCCUUUCCUCUAGUUCCACAUUUUUUUUUGAUAUUACAUAAAAAUCUCGUUCCAUAUCAAAAAUUGUUUCUUUUGCUUCAUCCAGCUCCUUAAUUAAUGUCCCAACUUGACUUUUGCAAAAUUUAUUUGAGUCAAUCAGUAUUUCGUUUUCAACCUGAAAGCUUCUGGCGUUUUUAUUGGUGCAGCUGUUCAGUCGUUCAAUUUUCCUCCUCAAUUUUUCAACCAUCUUUUGAAGCUCCUCCUUGUCCUGCUCCAGCUUCCCACACCUGGUUUCCAAAAUUCUUACUCUCACCAACAAAUCCUGUCUUUCCAUG